CAGUAGCCGCGGGAAUACGAAGGGUGCAAGCGUUAAUCGGAAUUACUGGGCGUAAAGCGUGCGUAGGCGGUUUGUUAAGUCUGUUGUGAAAUCCCCGGGCUUAACCUGGGAACUGCAUUUGUGACUGGCGGGCUAGAGUAUGGCAGAGGGGGGUAGAAUUCCACGUGUAGCAGUGAAAUGCGUAGAGAUGUGGAGGAAUACCGAUGGCGAAGGCAGCCCCCUGGGCCAAUACUGACGCUCAUGCACGAAAGCGUGGGGAGCAAACAGGAUUAGAUACCCCCGUAGUCCCUGUCUCUUAUAC
rnacentral:rRNA from 1 species